UUCUCACCUUGCCCCCCUUCUUCAGUCAUGUCUUGCACUUUCUCAUGGCAUGUUAAUAUCAACAGUCCUUGUUUAUUACCUACAGUCCUCCAGUGACUCCACAGCAAUCCAAUUACCUAUGUUUGAGACAUACACAUUAGCUCUCUUAUGUUCUGGGAAUAGAAUGCUCAGAAAGACUUACUCUGGACUGCAGCUUUUAGGGCUAUUAAAGAGUGGGCUUCAGUAUGCAUUAGCCCCUUAUAACUGAGAGCUCAAAGGCUCUCACUUUGGAUUGCUGGGACCUUGCUGGAUUUGGUCCCAAGAGACCUUCAUAGGUCAUCAGUCAUUUUCCAUCCUGGCCACAACUUGCGCUGGUUGAAGGUUCAACAACAAAAAUAUGAUUUCACUUGGGUUGUUACUCAGGCAAGAAAAGUAAGUUUCCAAGUCUGUUCAUUAAAAAACAGAUGCUUGAUAAACAUCUGUUAGUUCCUUGCAACAGAAUAUAUCCAAUAAGCUCAAGAAGGGCUUAGCCCAGGUGCUGUUUGUGAAGGCCAAGGCCUAACAAGCGUUUCUCAGAUCUUGCUGGGGCCUGGGCAGUGGCAGGGGCAUGCACCACCACAAUCCAGUCCAUGCCUAAACUUCUCUGGGCCUCUACAGGAUGAAAUAGGGCUGUGGCCAUGGGGACAAGGCCAGGAUCCCCCAAGUGAGAUGAGGCCCCACUAGUAGGUCAGGACACGUUUGGGGGUUGCUGAGGAUUCCCACCUAGCUGGCACUGCAAGGCAGAGUGGAGUGUCUGCGUGUGACACACGUGUCCCCUGACCCACUGUGGGCUUCCAGUACUCCGUGCCCUCCCUGGGCCCCACACAACCCCCGUCAUGUGUCCCCACCUCACAGCGGCGCUCACCCCCGCGCUCCCGCCUGUGUCCCUGCACCUUCACGGGAGCGCGCCCCCUGCAGCCCCCCGUGUGUGUCGCACCCGCCAUUCGCGCUCCGCCCGCCUGACGCCCCCGGCCCGCCCGUGCCCAAUGGGCGGCAGCGGGGGGCGGGCGCUGCCGUUCGAAUAAGGGCGGCCGCGGCACGGAGUUUGGCGGCUCCCCCUCCUACCAUCAACGCGGCUGGAGCCCCGGCGACUCCGAGGACACUGAAGACGGACACGAUUCCCAGCCGCGGUCACGGUCUGGGCAGUGACCUGACAGGCUGGCCACAAUGUCUGUUCACAGUGCAAGAGUUGCUGCUCUCCUUGCUUGGGUGAACAGCACAAAUGUUUGUCCUGAUCGCCUCAAUGAUCUGUCCCAGCUCCAGGACUGUAGUGUCUUCAUCAGAAUUAUCCACAAAAUACACAGGAGCAAGGAGGGGGAGUCUGUGCUGGAGCAGCCGCUGCCAGAGAGGAUCUCCUUCAUCCGUGGUUUCCUGCAGAAGCACUGCAGGGACAAAUAUGCAAUGGAAAACCUGGUCUCUGCACAGAAACUCCUGGAUGGAGAGGAGCUGGCUCUGGCCAAGGUGGCUGUGCUCCUCUUGUACCACACUUCCAUGAGUUCCAGGAACCCUGGGGACUGGAAUGAAUUUGACUACAAGACUCAGGUUGAGUUGGCAUCAAUCCUCAAAUUUGUGCUGGAUAACGAGGAGUGUCUGAAUGAGAAUCUGGAGCCAUUUCUGCAGAGGAGAGCAGAGCCGCCUUCAUCCAGUGUGUCCAGCAGCAGCUUUGAGGAGCGUUCCCCGCUGUUCUCUCUCCCGCCCAAGCAAGAGGUGCGUUUCCUGGAGCUGCAGAGGAUCGCCUCCUUCCCCAGCAGCAACCUGGUGGGGCUCCUGCACGAGGCCUUCAGACAGUGCCAGGACCUGAAGACUGAAAAAGCCCAGAUGGACAGAAAAAUCAACCAGCUCUCUGAGGAGAUUGGGACUCUCUCCUUCAAGCUGCGGGAGUUUGCCAGCAACAUGGUCCAGCUGCAGCGAGCCCAUGAUGAGCUCUUGGAAGAGCACAACACUGCCAUGGCACAGUUUCAGGAGAAGCAGCGACAGUUGGAGAAGGACCUGCAUGCUGCCCUGCAGGACAAGAAAUGCUCAGAAGAGAAAACUGAGAUUCUACCGGGUGAGAUCUCUAUGCUGGAGGACCAGCUGGCCAAGCUGGAGGAGUGCAGCACCCAGGAGAAGGGAGAAGUCAUGGGGGACAUUUUGAAGCAGGACAGGGGAGAGAAAAAUAAGACGGAAAAGAACUAGUAGGUUGAGGUAAGGUAAUUUACUAAAUCAAAAAAGGAAAAGUGAAAAUUUGUGUGCAUAAGCAAAGAGAAAAGUCAACCUCUGUCACACUAUAUUAGGAACACCAAGAAGCACGGCAUGACUCUUAGCUGCAUUGUCCAAGAAAGCAAAGUUUAUAAUUUUUGAUCUUCUUUUAUAGACAGGUUCGUGAAUGUCCGAGAGGUAAAACUCUCAUUGGUCAUUAAAGCCACACAUCACCAUCGUUGGUUAAGUGGAACACCACCCCUUGACUCUUUCCUGAACAACACCUGCAAAGAUUGUUGUCCUUUACCAAGGACUGUUUGGGUUUUUCCUUAUGCUUUCUCAGGCUAGAGUGAGAAGCCUCUGUGACUCAGUUUCACACAGGCUCUGUUCCCUGCAUGCUUUCAGCAUCCAUAAUUCCCCUUUUUUGUUUUAGGGCAGAAAGGCAGCAUUUGUAAUCUUCAGGGCCCUUGCAGGAAAGAGAACAAACACAUCAGAGGUCCUUCAGUAACUUGAUUACCAGAGGGAACCUUAAUUGCACACUGCCUUAGAAUGGGCAGGGAGAUUCUCUGGCACAUGUUAUUGAAUCCUUCAUGCAUAUUUUUAUAUUAAUAUUGCAUAUUAAGUCUUGUUCAUUCUUGCAAGGAGUGAGUUAAACUUGGUAAAUCGGAGUGACUCUGUGCAGGAAAAUUUUUCCAAUAAUCAGCUUCAUCUUUGCCCGUAUCAAUAGCUUUUCCUGUUUUCCCGAGCUGUCAGUAAAAGACAGUGGUCUUUGCACUGGCAUCCAGCUAUUUUUGGCUGCAAUGACAAAUUGGUUGAUUUUGCCAAUUUCAAUAAUUUGUGGCUGGGGAGAUAAGCAAUCUGCCCUAGAUUUUGCAGCAUAUUUUGCAGAGGAGCACUAUUCGCUGUUAGCAAAGCUUCAUUAAAAGUUUUCCUGCUAUAUUGUAAGAACAAUUUUCAAAUUGUUUCAAAUCAGCAAUUAAUUCAGACAGCAUAACAGCAUCGGUGCUGCUGCUUUUUUUUUUCUUUUUUUUUUUUUUUUUUUUUUUGGCAGGGGAUGGUAUUUGCACUUACACUUCUCUUCUUUGCAGAAAGUGUGAUGAAAAUACCAGAAUGAGUUGUUUGGGCUUUGUGCAGGAUUGGACCAGUGCUUGCUCAGUUUUGCUAAUGAUACCUGUAGGAUGAUAAUUUGAAUUGAAAACAUUAAUAUCAAUGAAGGAAUUUGCUUGAUGAACUUGAUUCUCAAAGAUCUACAUGAUCCCAAUUACCACAAAGUAAAACCACAGCCCUUGGUAACUACAAACAAACCAAAAGCAUGUGAGAUAUUACAUGAGAUACAAUUAGGUUGGGGUUUUUUUUUUUUUUGGUAAAUUAAUAAUUGUUGGCUUAGAGUCCAAAUAAAUGAAACUCAGGGAAAAGUCCAUCAGCUGAAGAUGUUGAUGUUUAGCAUCACUAGAUGUAUUCUUGAGUAUUGAAACAUGUGUCCUUUUUCCCUCCUUGAAGGUGGAGUUUUGAUGUGACUGCUUUGAACCUGCUGAUAAUAAAACACAGGCAUACCUUCUCUCAAGUUAAUAAAUUAGUUAGACUUUGCUGGUUUUAGUCAAUCAAAAUUUAGAUUUGAUAAUUCAUUUUUCAAACUUCUAAUACAUAGAUACCUUGUUCAAAUUCAUCAUUCCCCUUUUUUUUCUUUUUUUUUUUUUUCCCUCUGCUUAGAAACUGCAAGCAGAAAUAUCUGGGGUUUUUUUGGUGAUUCCUGUUCAGAAGGAGUUAGGUGUGACCAGUGCCUACUCUAACUGGAAAAGAAUCUCUUACAUGACAUGAUUUUAAAACAAGAUUCCUAAAAAUCAUGGUGUAAAAACCAAAUGAAUCUUUAAACUGCAACUUAUCAACAAUAUCAUGUCAGUAGAUUCACAUUCUGUAAUUAAUAUAUCAGUGCUCCCUGGGGAAGGGGAGGGGGGACAAAGCCGCAGUUCUCUCGGUGGAGCCGCUUCUGGGAGCAGGGGGAAGCAGCACCCAUCUCCCAACGAGCUGUGCUGAUCUUAGACCAGAGGCUGCCACGGCAGGAGGGGGAAAGGGAGCCUGGACCAAGAAACCUAAGCUGCUGCUUUCCAAACCCCUGCAGGUCACCAUCCCGGCCCCUCCAACACCAGAGAGAGCAGGAAGGAGGGUGGUCUCUGCCUGUGACCACAGGGAGAGCACACAGGCAAUCCUUAAAACAAGCAUAGGAAAAUUAAAGGCACAAAACACUCAGAAAGCAAACUUUCUCAUCCCGCCCCAGGCCAGCAGCAUCACUACCCAGCAGCAGCAGAAGCACCUCUCAGAGACUCACCAGGACCCUGACACCCCCCCGUCCAAGAAGCCAACCAGCUGCUUCCCCCGGCCCCAGACCACCCAGGAUCGCAGUGAACAGAGCGGCUCCCAGGUCAGUCAAGAGAGCAAGCAGCCAGCCCCAGCCACACAGGUAAGCUUCAGAGGGAAAAAGAG